ACACCGAUGGUGAAGUGGUUAUCAUGCUUGCCUUCCAUUAAGUACUUUACGUGCGUGUCAUGAUCAGCAAGCGGCAGGGGUUCGAUUCCCUUUCGGUGUA
rnacentral:tRNA from 1 species